rnacentral:rRNA from 1 species
AUGGGGGAACAAGUGCUGAUAGCAAGACCUGAGAGGAGGUGCACGGACUGGUCCGACGACGAGGCCUACGGGGAGCGUCUGUUGGAGGUGUUGUCCGUGCAUGUUGACGGCGGACGGUAUCCCAGCGGCACAGUGACCGUCUACGACGGUAAGCGCGGCCAGAAGAUCUACAGCCGUAGGGAAGACCAGCCCAAACCAGCACCAUCAACUUCUUCUCCUCGCCACCAUCAGAAUGAGAUCCUGCUCACCGGCCCAUUUCGGGCCAUCGUGGCCAAUGGGUGCAUUGGGUUUGUGCUCAAUCUCCAUGAUGGAAGCCAGGACCAGAAGAAAGCAAACCAGAGCCAGAUACUCGUGGACUUGUAUGACCCGACGACAAAGUAUGACGAGCUCAUCUCAACUAAACUGGACACUGGCUACGGCCCGGCAGAGGUCAGAUAUGCAGUGCUCAGCAACGCCAUCGAAUGUGACGUUGAGGUGAAACUUGUCCUUGGAGAUGAUUCGGCUCCUGCAUAUGCCCACGGGACGAUCACGGCUUGCAGUGAGCUGCUGAAACAAGACAUCGUGCUCUUCGAUGGCGAGAUCAUGGAUGCGACCUCGCCGGAGCUGAUCCUUCCACUGGCUAGAUCAGUCCUAGCAGCGCCACUGAAGUGGUCCCUAAAGAUUGAGGUGGUUCUGAGAGGGUCCUCUGGUGAAGAGCUUGCGAGAGAUCAUGUCAUGUUCUAUCCUGUCCUUGACGACGAGCAUGUAUCGCAUGCUGUUGCCAACAGUGGUAUAUUUGAAGUAAAGAUGACAUGGUCAGAUGAUCAAGAUUACUAA